rnacentral:lncRNA from 1 species
GUUAUCUUUGGUUAUCUAGCUGUAUGAGUGUUAUACAUUCUUCAUAAAGCUAGAUAACCGAAAGUAACAAGAAUCCCAUUACACACCUGAAAGGCAUCACCCCACCUUGAGAUCUGUACUCCUCUCCUCUUCUCUUUUUCCUCCUAAAUCUCCCUCAAUCUCUCUCCUCCUCAAUCUCUGCAUCACAAAAUGGCCUCCAUCACUGCUGAUAGAGAAGAACAACCAUCCUCGAUGCCAGGGAAAGGAUAGAGUGAAGAAUCGGGGCAGGUCGGUUGUGUGGCUGUCGUCCUGCUGGCGUUGCUGCUCCCCUCCCCUUCGCUGCUCGCCUGCCCCCUUCCUCCCGUCACGAGAUGCAGUUUGCACAAAGCCACCAUCUUAGAACAAGCGGGCAUUAAAUGGAAGUGGAAAAUAAGCAGGUUUUUAGAGUCAAGUCGAAUAACGUGAAAUCCAUCAAAUGGAGGAUCGGAGCUGAAACGGGAUGAUGGAGUCAAACGGGUCUUUACUAUGCAUGUGCCCCAACAUCAGAUAAAAGACAGCACUUUAAUUGUUCUACAUGACUUCAAUCUUUGGCAAUUUUGAAGCAGUUAUAGCAUCAAAUGUUCUAAGGGAUGUAUGUUGCGAGCCAAGCGUGUGUGAGUGUGUAGAAGAUGAGAGAAACUCUUUGUAGGGGUCUGGGUCAAAGUACUCAGCAAACUGUGUAUUUGUAGAAACGCACUUGUUUGGGAUUCUCCAAGUAUAAAAAAAGAUAUUCGGGUAGUUCUAUAGUGAAUUUAAUGAGGGUUUUCUAGAAAAUGACAUUUUUAAAGGCCAAUCAUUUAGGUACUUUUUGAUAAAAAAAGAAAAAAGAAAGAGAUUAAAAAAAAAUGUCUUAUAAAUUUAACGCAGAUCUAGUCUGUCUUGGUACAAUCUUUAGCAUAAUGCACUUUAUAACACCCCCACCCUUUUUUUAGUUCAGUAGUUUUCAGUAUUAAAGGAAAAUGUAGUGGCCUGUGUACAUACCCUAAUGUAUUUCUCCAAUAACUGAUUACUAAAUGAAAUCUAACAUGAAUUAUUAGAAAUGGUGUG